GUUACAACGUUAUCGGCUCCGUCCAUUUUUCUUUGCCACGAUUUUGUAGGUCACUACAAAACACUGAGAACAGUAAUUACGUGAUUUAGUUAACGAUUAUCAUAUCGAUCAGGAGUAAAACAUCAGAGACUUGACCAAGAUGCAUACUCAUCCAUGCCAAAUAUUGCCACUUUGAGGGACUCACCGUUCUUUUAUCAGAGGUCUUCAUGAUCAUUUUCUGGAUAAAAACAAAGAUACAAAUACUGGGUUAAAACGUGAUAUAGGCCUAGCUUUAGUGGAUGAUUUAAGGGGAUACGAACACUCAAAUUGGAUUCACUCUCCAGUUUUCAGGGAUAUUAUUUUACUACCGCGGGGUUAGUCGAGCGUGUGUAUUCGGCAUAUGUACAAAUAGAGUCGUGGCACUGCUCAGCGAAGCAAACUUGUGACGCGUAUCUGUAUUACCGACUGCCAGUAUUGAAAAUACAUUGAAAGUGAGACAGAGCUCAUUCUGGAGCCGAAAUAGAAGCACGUAAGCAUGCACAUGAGACUGUUGACAGUAUACUGGCAGUCAAUAAUUGAGUACAUGUUAUGUCACGGUCAUUACAUAGAACCAGCUGUUCGAAAAUUCAAAAAUUUGCGAAUCACAAAAGGUCCAAACUUCAAACAAUAACUGUACAGCAAUUAUUAUUACCUUGAAAAUUGAUACUCUCGUAAAAUCAAACACCAAGAAUUCAUAUUUUAGUCACUAACAAAGCUGAGAACAGGAUGGGUUUUCAAUUUUGUAGAAAUAACUUAAAGUUGUUAAAGUUGAACUAUAUAAAUAAGCAAAUAAGAAUAAGCGUCAAUCGUUGAGUUUCAUUUAUGUUGAGCAUAAUUUAAAUCGUUUUGACGUAACUCAAUUGUUAUUUCAAGACAAUUGGAUACAAACUAGUAGGGCGAAGAUUUAUACAUGUUUACUCAACAGUAAUUGAGUAAAAUUGAAUAAUCGAGGCUGAAGCAUCUACGGGGAAAUACCAUUACUACGUAUUAUAUAAUUCAUAUUAAAUAAAUUUGGGCUUCGGAAAAAAAGUUAAUACAUAUGUAGUGAUUUUGAUUAAUUAUUAA